GGUGGUGAUGUGAAAUGGUGAUAUUUCAAUCUCUUGCAAACGAGUAGGAAUCAAAAAUGAAUAAAAUGGUGGUUACGGAGAACUUCACCCAGCUGCUGGUGGACGCAGCAAGUCGCGCCAACCUAUCGGCCUACAGUACGGAUGCAGGUCCUGCCGUGUCGCACGAUUCCGAGAUAGCUUCCAUCGUGUCGAAGAUCGUGGCCAUACUGUUCGGUUUCAUCGGUAUCACAGGGCUGCUGGGCAAUGCGAUGGUGGUGCUCGUUGUGCUGUCCAACCCACAGAUGCGAUCGACCACCAAUCUACUGAUUAUUAACCUGGCGAUCGCGGACCUGCUGUUCGUGGUGUUCUGCAUCCCGUUCACUGCCACCGAUUACGUACUGGCCUCGUGGCCCUUCGGUGAUCUCUGGUGCAAAAUUGUACAGUAUCUGAUCGUAGUGACGGCACAUGCCAGUAUCUACACGUUGGUGCUAAUGUCCCUGGAUCGCUUCCUGGCGGUUGUGCAUCCGAUCGCCAGUAUGGUUAUACGGACGGAGCGCAACACCGUCCUGGCGAUCACCGUGCUGUGGAUAGUCAUCAUUACCACGGCCCUUCCGGUGCCCUUCGCUCACGGCGUUAGCCUCUACACCGACGACUCUUACGAGACGGAGAAGUGCGGUUUUCUGGAGAACGAUAACUUUUCCUGGGCUGCCUUCCACAUUGCGUUCUUCCUCAGUUCGUAUGUAGUGCCCCUGAUACUGAUCAGUGUGCUGUACAUGUGGAUGCUAUCGCGACUCUGGCGGAGCUCGGUCGGCGGGCGGUCAGCUGAAUCGAAGAAGGGCAAAAAGCGUGUCACGCGCUUGGUGGUGAUUGUGGUGGCGGCCUUCGCAUCACUUUGGUGCCCGAUACAGGUUAUAUUGCUAUUGAAAAGUAUCGACGCCUUCGAAACGGUAUCACCCUUUCAUCUUUCGCUACAAAUCAUCUCCCACGUGCUGGCGUACACUAGUUCCUGCAUCAAUCCGCUACUAUAUGCGUUCCUCUCGGAGAACUUCCGGAAAGCAUUCCGCAAGAUCGUCUACUGUGGACCCGGAAGCCGACGACAUGGCAGCCAACGACAUAUGCCACUGCCAACGAAAACAACACGCACCGGCAGCUGUCCGGACAUUUUAUAACCAGAAGCAGCCGAGGAAACGUCCGUCACGUUUGUUUAAGCCUUAUUUGUUCACUCCAGCAGCCGGGUCCGUCCAGGAGCGGCGAUAUAGCUAAUCGAACCCAGAUGCAAUCCGAGACUGAAUACUGCAUCGAUUUUUCUAAAAAAACAUCUAUAAAAAAUAACACAAAAAAAAGGUGAUUAUGAACAGGAAAACCACAGCAGGCCGGCUGCCCAGCCUCUUCAGAUGUGGUUUCUAUGGCGCACUACCGAAGGGGAAAACUCCAUUGCCACCGCAUCAUCAUAAUCCGUAAUUACCCGUAGCAGCAGCCCCGGAGAGUCGAGGGCCACCAUUAGCAACACCGAGCGGGCCCGGGGGUUGGUGUAAAUGAAUCUUCCUCUAGCGUGUACAUUAACCAGGCCAUAAGGACGAUAAAGCACAGCAACCGGCACAGACCAUGGGGCACUCGUUUGGAAAGUUUUCUUUCUCUUUUCCGUUAUUAGCGACAGGAAUGGCCGACCAAACGAUGCAUCCUUAGCGUUCUGCACUUUCCCCUGCGUGGAGUAUAGUGGCGCUGUCUCUGCCAGGCCUUGCCCGUUGAGGCAAAAUUUUUUAUAGGUCCAUCGAGUGGUCCCAUCGUCAUCAUCAUCAUCAUCAUUAUCAACAACAUCCUCAUCAUCUGCCGGGCCCGCAAAUUAUGUCAGUUGAGUCUCGAUGGCUCGAUGGUUGAUUCUGUUAUGUAUAAUUAGCAGCCCUGUUGCUAGAAGGUAGGUUGCUUAUCGUGGACAGCGCACCUGAAAGUGGAACCGUACUGGAGUAAGCGUUGGAGGUAUCGUUGUGGAUUAAAACAGGUGGGAUGGGAAUUAGCAGUACAAAACGGUAUUCAGUGGCGAGCCUAGCCCCUCUAACGGAAGGAAGCCUGAAUAGCGCGCUAUGCAGGAUUCUCCGGAUAUCUGAUUUCCAUGGAAGAAGAUUGUAAAUUCCAGACAAUGAUGGGGAUCAUAACUAUGGGUCCGUGCAUUCUCGUCGAUGGAAUGACCUGUUUUGUAAAUGUACCAUACCAUUCUAACCGGCUCGCCGCUUGGAACCGUUUAAGUAAAUCAAAUUAAAUAUUAAAACCAUUUGCAGAGCCGGCCACUAAACCGGGUGGCUUCGUUUUUGCAAGAAAAAUGACCGACAUCGGCAGUGGUUGUACUAUUGCAUACUUAAAGAGAUAGAAUAUCUGGUUUCAAAGCUGUUUCACCGUAAGUUCGAUGUAGUUUAAGCGAGAUGGAUAAUAAAUUCCCCUUACUUUAGCCUCGCCUUCUUACUGGGGUUGCUAAGUAGACUCAUCCGGCUCAGGAUAGGAUGGAUCGAAUUGGCGGGCAUUGCUUCUAGUGUGGAUUAUCUCAUCAGCUUAACAGCUCCAAUCUGAGCCCCGUACCGUUUCUCUCGAAGAUAUCGUGAUGUCUGAUUUUUAUGGCCCCGCCUGUGCGACCGACCCGAAAACCUUUUCUUCUUUACACUUUUUAUCGUCGAAUUGAAAAGCCUGCGAUGCCGUAUCAUGGUAUCCGGCAUCAUGGAUCGAUUUCGUACGCCGGGAUCGUGAUCCAUGCUAAGCACGUGGCAUCAAUCAUCUCAACGUACCCAGUGAUCCCAUCGAAUCGUCGAGCGUACUUCUGUGCGAAGCUCUGUUUAUCAAUGCAUUCCAUCACCGGCAGCAGUAGGUCAAAGUGGCAAUUUUCCUUCCUCCCGGUGUACGCAAUGCGGGUAAUAUCGCGCGGGGGAAAAAAAAAGGACGAAAGAAAAUCCGUCAAGUCAGCACCGUCAUGCUCAUGUUCUCAACCCACCAUAUUUCCCGUCAUAUGCUCGCACGAUAAGGCUCGUUGGCCUCGUGGCCGUCGCGUCACAGGAUGCCGAGCAGACUUUUCCCAGACGACCGUCGACCCUGAGCAGCAGUGAGGGGGGUUUUAAAAAAAAAUCACACACCACCCGGCGGAAUGUAUUUUGCAAUGAUACUUGCACAUAAAUCACACCUCGUUCGUUCACUGGGUCGCUACGCCAGCAGCCGCAGCGCGGUCGCCAGUGGACCAGCCGUACCCGGUGUGACCGUAAACCAACGCUACGUGAGUUGACUGUGUCCACGCGUUGAGCGCGUGACUAAGCUCGAAAAGCUUCUUCCAUCCAUCAGCCAGCCAAGUCUGUUCGGUUGGAAUGUUUUCGGUUGCUGCAUGCUUGAUGAGAAACCAACCAACGGUUGAUGAUGUGCCUGCUGUGAUGUUGGUUUCAUUUAAAUUGACAAACUUUGCUUUUGCUCUCGGUGCAAUUGUUUCGAGUAGAAUUUCGCAUUUGGAAUCUGCAUUUUUUUUUGAAAAAAAAUAUUUGUCAAACAUUUUGGUCACCAUCAUGCCGGGCACUACGAGUGAAAAUCUCACAUACACAACGCUUCGAGAGAAACGCUGAUAGCUGUUGCUGAGUGCAAAAUCCAUACCACAACCAACCUGCCAUACGUUUCGAUGGAAACGAAUAUAUACACACACAUACGAGCGUGCGUGCGCGUGCGUGUGCACUAGAAGUAAUUGAAAUGCAGUAAAAAGCGACAGGCGAAUCCAUGUAAAUAAAAAUCCCAUAUCAUAUUCCCGAUUUUCCCGAAAAAAAAACAAAACAUAAAAUUCACUGCAUCUGAACCGUGACAUCUGGAAGGCUGGAUAAUGCAUAUGCAGUACCCUACCUUCCCGGAGCAAUGCGGUGUCUGAGCUAACUGAUAAGUGGAGUUGACUGUAUGGUUGUUGCGUAAAACAAAGCUAUUCGACUGUUACGUUAGCAAUCGUCAUGAAACAUUAACAUUAGAUAAAUAUCAAGAGCCGCCGAGCGCGUCUGGUAGGAGAAAGAAAUUCAAAUUCAUUAUCAUAACAUGUAGCGAAUGAAUGGAUGUCUUAUGUACCGAUGGUUCAGCGAAUAACACAUCUUCGUACCCGAAUUUCAAUGGGUCGAUGACCAAGCAGUUUAUAGCUCAUAUUGAAUGGCGAAUGUGACAAGUUAUUGUAUAUACCGGACCGCAUAUGCAUUCGUAGCUUCUCCACAAUUCAAAGCAAAUCCGACCCUCGGUGUGAUGGUAGCAGGAAAUUUAGGCCGUGACCAAUGUUCGCAUUUCGAUUGAAUAAACGAAACAUAGAGUACGCAUAAUUCAAUACGAGUUUCAAGACGAGUGUUAGAAGUAACGCUGGGUGUGGUUGACUAAAAAUAUCAAAUAGAGCUUUUCGAAGAAAUAAGAACAAAAUAAGCUAGCGGGCGUAUGUUGUGCGCUUUCAGAUAAUGAGGACUUUAUUUACGAAUGCCAAUAUUUUGAUAUCCUGUUGAGUAUUAUGGUACCGUUUAUAGAUCGAACGAUUUGCUCGAUAAAUGAUAGUAUGUAACAAAUCAUUUACUGAUAUGCUGCUGAUAUGAGAAUAUAGUAAAGAAUUCGUUAAAGUUUUUUUUUCUUGAGAAAUUAUUUAUCUUAAUGAAUGAUGGUCGACGAGUUAAACAUUCAAUGUAGUUGCUUUUUUUUACGGUUAUUCCAUAGAAGAAAUUUAAAGAAAGUUAUAGCAAAUCAAACAAAAUCUCUAAUGUUACCACACAACCGAACCAAUAAGCAACCGUUAUAGAUGAUCAAACCGAGCCUAAUCUAUUCGAUAGAUACAGAAGCCGUAAACAUAAUUUUAUCUCAUAAGUUGCAUUUCGUUAACUCAUCUCAAACUAUCUAGCUUGAACAACGAAGCUCGGAGGCGUUUCAUAUAAAUCCGUUUUAAUCAUCUCCACACUACCCUUGAUGAUAGUUCACUAUUGCGCCUGGUUUAUAUGUUGAAAAUUGUACAAAAGCGCGUAUUUGGAGGUGCGAUCAAAAAGUAGUGGACUGGUACAAGGAAAUAUAUAAUUGUUCAAAUUGCUCUAGCAAACCGUUCUACUAGAUGAUAUGCAAUAACGGCAAAAGAUGACUUACCAUCCAGUAAAAAAGCGGUAAACUCAGAACCAAAACGUCCCACUCCGAAUCAAUACACCGCCACUGCAACACAAUGUGAGACGAUGGGAAAUUUGUGAAUUUACGCUGGUGCAGACGAUGCUUGCACUGGAGAAUCAUUAUCUAAACUAACACAACCGAACAGGGUUUGAACAUUACGAGUACCAUUUCGAUAGCGGCACUUUUUAACAGCAUGUCAAAUUACUAAUACCGACCAACGAUCCGCGGUGUGAAAGGUGUGAUGAUCGUUUUCUAAAAUCUGUCUUGAAGUUGAAGAAAUAAA